rnacentral:rRNA from 1 species
UACGUAGGGGGCAAGCGUUGUCCGGAUUUAUUGGGCGGAAAGAGCGUGUAGGCGGCCUGACAGGUCUGCUGUGAAAACUCGAGGCUCAACCUCGAGAUGUCGGCGGAAACCGUCUGGCUAGAGUCCGGAAGAGGAGAGUGGAAUUCCUGGUGUAGCGGUGAAAUGCGCAGAUAUCAGGAAGAACACCAAUGGCGAAAGCAGCUUUCUGGGACGGUACUGACGCUGAGACGCGAAAGCGUGGGGAGCGAACAGG